rnacentral:rRNA from 1 species
UACGCAGGGGGCAAGCGUUGUCCGGAUUUAUUGGGCGUAAAGAGCUCGUAGGCGGUCUGUCGCGUCGAUCGUGAAAACUUGGGGCUUAACCCUGAGCUUGCGGUCGAUACGGGCGUGACUGGAGUUCGGCAGGGGAGACUGGAAUUCCUGGUGUAGCGGUGAAAUGCGCAGAUAUCAGGAGGAACACCGGUGGCGAAGGCGGGUCUCUGGGCCGAUACUGACGCUGAGGAGCGAAAGCGUGGGGAGCGAACAGG